CCGCACGAGCGCACCCUUGCCCUAUGUUGCCAGCGGAUCAUGCCGGGGACUCAUGGGGGACUGCCGGUGAUAAACCGGAGGAAGGUGGGGACGACGUCAAGUCAUCAUGGCCCUUACGCCCAGGGCUACACACGUGCUACAAUGGCCGGCACAAAGGGCUGCCAACCUGCGAAGGUGAGCGAAUCCCAAAAAGCCGGUCUAAGUUCGGAUUGUAGUCUGCAACUCGACUGCAUGAAGUCGGAAUCGCUAGUAAUCGUGUAUCAGCAACGACACGGUGAAUACGUUCCCAGGCCUUGUACACACCGCCCGUCACACCAUGGGAGUGGGCUGUACCAGAAGUAGGUAGUCUAACCUUCGGGAGGACGCUUACCACGGUGUGGUUCAUGACUGGGGUGAAGUCGUAACAAGGUAGCCCUAGGGGAACCUGGGGCUGGAUCA
rnacentral:rRNA from 1 species